UCAUGGAACCCGGACGUGAGCGAUGUAACCACCAUAUGUACGUAGCCCACUUCCAGUUUCUGUGGCC
ensembl:miRNA mdo-mir-7343 mdo-mir-7343